rnacentral:lncRNA from 1 species
GAUUUUCUUGUUUGCAUAGCAAGUCAUUAAGGCUUCUUGCUCAAGACUCUGCUGUGAUUUCAUAAUCUGUUUCUUAACUCCUACAAAUGGAAUGAAAACAAGGUCCAACUCCUCAUUCUCUUUUACAUUCAAGCAGAGUUCUCUAUAAAAUGAUGUAACCCUCAUUGAAUCAGCGUCAACUCAAGCACUGAAAUUUUUUAGUAGAGUGAAAGGGCCAGCUCUGACAGAG